CGUGUGACGCUGAAAAGAACGUUUCCGUUGCAGUUCGGCAAAAUACAUCUGUUUCGAUACGCCCAAAAAAAAGCACUUAAACUUAGCGCCAAAACAUUUCAGCAAAAAUAGAGCAGAAUUUACAACAUGGAGAUUUCUACUGACCCCUGUACCGCUCUGCGUUUUCCUCCGUCUGGUUCCUGGACAGCACAGUUAUGCAACAGGCGUAGAGCGACGAACCAGCUCCAAGUGUAAACACGGGCGGUUGUGAGCUGCGCUGUACUUUUAAGGAACUACUAAGGAGCGGCAUGCAGUGACAACAGCAUGCCGUGUUGACGCUGACAUCAAAUAAAACUGAACACGUGUUUGCU